rnacentral:rRNA from 1 species
AACGUAGGACGCGAGCGUUAUCCGGAGUUACUGGGCGUAAAGGGCGGGUAGGCGGCUCAUCAAGUUGGUUGUGAAAUCUCCCGGCUAAACUGGGAGGGUGCAAUCGAAACUGAUGGGCUAGAGGACAGCAGAGGGCCGUGGAAUUCCGGGUGGAGUGGUGAAAUGCGUAGAGAUCCGGAGGAACACCAGAGGCGAAAGCGGCGGCCUGGGCUGUGACUGACGCUGAACCGCGAAAGCCAGGGGAGCGAACGGG